UCAAGGGUAUAAAAAAACCCGAUUAUAUAUACAUAUGUAUGUACAUAAUAAGCGUAAACCGGUAAGAACGACUGAAAUAACAAAUUAAUUUUUUAAUAUAUAAUUUUCAACACACACCGCGACAUCUUUUAAUUCAUUCGAAGAAGUGUAUAUUUCGGUACUUUUAACAUUUUUAAAAUAAAAAAUGUUAAACUUGUUAAACAAAAUAACUUCGCGAACAUUUUAACGACCGUGACAGAACCUUUAAAUGAAUAAAAAUAUGUAUUUGUUCUCAUUGUGCGAGCGUCGUUUAUUUUACAUACAUACACGUACAUACAUAUAAAAGUAUAUAAAGACUUCUCAGUCUCGCGGCUGCGUGUGUGCAAUCAAAACUUGAGAGUGGAAGAUUAUUUGGACCAAAGGAAAAAUCUUUGUUUGUUGGACGGUCGUGGGACACUGAAGUUUGGAGACCAAUUGUAAUAUUGAAAUUUGCUGCUUCGGCGGACGUCGGGGAAAUCCGAAGAAAAUGUAUUGCGAUAACGCCACGAACUUUGAAGCCAACUCACGCCUUAAAGAGCUUUCGAAAUAGCUACAAGAUCAAGGCAGACGCAAAUUAAUUGGCGCGUUCGUAAAAGAGCGCGGAAUGGAAUUUAUAUACAUCCCUUCACGCUCACCCUAUUUCGACGGACUGUGGGAGGCAGCCGUCAAAAGUGCUAAGUAUCCCUUAACGCGCGCUACGGAGAAUCAACUUUAACAUUCGCAGAGCGGUCCACUAUUUUUAUAGACGUCAAGGUAAUUAUGGUUUCACGUCCAAUAGAUCCAAACAACGGUGAAACAAUUUCUUCAGCUCAUUUGGUAAUAAGAGACUCGCUCCUGUCUGUAAAAGAGGACCACGAAUCAACAGAGAAACUACACUAGUUAGAUCGUAGUCACGGUUAUUUUUCGACUUCCAACGGGUCCAUGACCAUGCAACAGUGAGCGAAAUGGACUAAGCCGAAGCUUAACCUGGAAGUUGGAGCACUCGACGACAGUUUGCCUCCUCACUGACAGCUUGUGGACGGGUGGUCAACAUCUUACGCUACGCCGAUAUAAAAACAGCAUCAAAAGUGUUACGCCUUGCGUUACGGAAAUUAGAUAUGCCUCCAUCCAAAGAAGACCGCGGGUUAUUCAAAGUGGACGGAAUGUUGGAGUACAUCAUUAUUAUUAACUUAAUAUAUAUAUUUCAUUAAACAAAUUUCCUUCUAUAUUAAUAUUAAAUUUACAUUCAUAUGUGAACUACAAAUGUUUGUGAAAGUAUAUUUGAAUUGCAUUUACUA